GUCUCUUUGAAGUUUUAAA
rnacentral:snRNA from 1 species